UACGUAGGGGGCGAGCGUUGUCCGGAUUUAUUGGGCGUAAAGAGCUCGUAGGCGGUUUGGCAAGUCGGGUGUGAAAACUCCGGGCUCAACUCGGAGACGCCACUCGAUACUGCUAUGACUCGAGUCCGGUAGGGGAGUGUGGAAUUCCUGGUGUAGCGGUGAAAUGCGUAGAUAUCAGGAGGAACACCUGUGGCGAAAGCGGCUCACUGGACCAUAACUGACGCUGAUGCACGAAAGCUAGGGGAGCAAACAGG
rnacentral:rRNA from 1 species